rnacentral:rRNA from 1 species
ACUCAAAGGAAUAGACGGGGGCCCGCACAAGCAGUGGAGUAUGUGGUUUAAUUCGAAGCAACGCGAAGAACCUUACCGGGGCUUGACAUGGAGUUGACCGGUGUAGAGAUACACCUUCCCUUCGGGGCAACUCACACAGGUGGUGCAUGGUUGUCGUCAGCUCGUGUCGUGAGAUGUUGGGUUAAGUCCCGCAACGAGCGCAACCCUUAUCAUUAGUUGCUACAUUCAGUUGAGCACUCUAACGAGACUGCCGUUGGCAAAACGGAGGAAGGUGGGGACGACGUCAAAUCAUCAUGCCCUUUAUGUCCCGGGCUACACACGUACUACAAUGGCAUUUAACAAUGAGUCGCGAACCCGCGAGGGGAAGCUAAUCUCCAAAAAAUGCCUCAGUUCAGAUUGCAGGCUGCAACUCGCCUGCAUGAAGUCGGAAUUGCUAGUAAUCGUGAAUCAGCAUGUCACGGUGAAUACGUUCCCGGGCCUUGCACACACCGCCCGU